CUUGAACGCUGGCGGCAGGCUUAACACAUGCAAGUCGAGCGAGCGGCGGACGGGUGAGUAAUGUCUGGGAAACUGCCUGAUGGAAGGGGAUAACUACUGGAAACGGUAGCUAAUACCGCAUACCAUCAGAUGUGCCCAGAUGGGAUUAGCUAGUAGGUGGGGUAAUGGCUCACCUAGGCGACGAUCCCUAGCUGGUCUGAGAGGAUGACCAGCCACACUGGAAAUGAGACACGGUCCAGACUCCGACGGGAGGCGGCAGUGGGGAUUAUUGCACAAUGGGCGCAAGCAGGAUGCAGCCAUGCCGCGUGUGUGAAGAAGGCCUUCGGGUUUUAAAGCACUUUCAGCGAGGAGGCGUUACUCGCAGAAGAAGCACCGGCUAACUCCGUGCCAGCAGCCGCGGUAAUUC
rnacentral:rRNA from 1 species